UCCUAGCAGAAGAACAAUUUUAGCAGAGGAAUAAUUCCUACUUUUAGCAAAGGAAAUUAAGUUCAUGUAUGUGUUUUUUGGCAAAAGAAAUUAAUAGUUGAUAGCAACCCUCAACAACCAAUGGAAGAUUUAGAAUUACUGGCUUUCAAAAACCUAAUUGAAUCUUUUUUCAAAAACCUAAUUGAAUCUUUAUACACCUAUCUUAAGCAUUUCAAAAACACUACGAAUUUGAGCAAGAACACGGAGAACAUCAGUCGUCAGCACAACAGCAGAAAAGAAGAGCAUCCUUCAUAAAAGAGCAACAGGAGUUUAUGCUAGUUGUGGAAUUCAAUUGGCGACACUCAGCCCUAAUUGUAGCUACCAGUACCAUCUUCUCCUUCUACAAUCUCUGCUACCUCUGAACUUAGGGUUUCAAAAUUUUGGCCCUAAUUGUAGCUACCAGCACUAUCUUCUCCGUCUACAAUCUCUGCUACCUCUGAACUUAGGGUUUUAAAAUUUUGGCCCUAAUUGUAGCUACCAAGCAAUAGGAUGCAAGUGUGGCAGAAGUUAAUGGAGGCGGAGAUAACUGCUUCAGCACUAGCUCCCGUGGACUCCUAUCGACCUGGCAAACACCAUGCUGGAGAGGCUCAUUCUUUUCCAUGGUGGGGUUAUCUGAUUAUUGUUAUACUGGUCGUACUAUUUGUUGUCUUCCUGUAUGUUUGUUGGAGAGUUGUUAGGGCACGUCGAGCAGCCAUGGGCACACCGCCGAGGGUGGGUGGUGGAGCUCCAUGGCCUACUUGGCAUCCUUACAAAGUACCAGUGUAGACCCUAUUUGUGAAGCUUGUAAUUCCUGCUUGUAAUUCAUACAAGAUCAUGAUCAUUUCUAUUAA